rnacentral:rRNA from 1 species
ACCAGACUCCUACGGGAGGCAGCAGUGGGGGAUAUUGCACAAUGGGGGAAACCCUGAUGCAGCGACGCCGCGUGGGUGAAGAAGUAUUUCGGUAUGUAAAGCCCUAUCAGCAGGGAAGAAAGAAGACGGUACCUGACUAAGAAGCCCCGGCUAACUACGUGCCAGCAGCCGCGGUAAUACGUAGGGGGCGAGCGUUAUCCGGAUUCACUGGGUGUAAAGGGAGCGUAGACGGCCGUGCAAGCCAGGAGUGAAAGCCCGGGGCCCAACCCCGGGACUGCUCUUGGAACUGUGCGGCUGGAGUGCGGGAGGGGCAGGCGGAAUUCCUGGUGUAGCGGUGAAAUGCGUAGAUAUCAGGAGGAACACCGGCGGCGAAGGCGGCCUGCUGGACGACAACUGACGGUGAGGCGCGAAAGCGUGGGGAGCAAACAGGAUUAGAUACCCCCGUA